rnacentral:rRNA from 1 species
GAUGAACGCUGGCGGCGUGCCUAAUACAUGCAAGUCGAGCGAAGCGGGGGCGGGUGAGUAAGACGUAGAAAACCGCCUAUACGACUGCGUUAACGUGGGGAAACCGGAGCUAAACCGGAUACUCAGACAUGGAUGCGCGCUGCAUUAGCUGGUGGGUAAGGUAACGGCUCACCAAGGCAACGAUGCAUAGCCGACCUGAGAGGGUGAUCGGCCACACUGGGACUGAGACACGGCCCAGACUCCUACGGGAGGCAGCAGUAGGGAAUCUUCCGCAAUGGGCGAAAGCCUGACGGAGCAACGCCGCGUGAGUGAAGAAGGUUUUCGGAUCGUAAAACUCUGUUAUUAGGGAAGCGGUACCUAAUCAGAAAGCCACGGCUAACUACGUGCCAGCAGCCGCGGUAAUAC